UGGGGAAUAUUGCACAAUGGGCGCAAGCCUGAUGCAGCCAUGCCGCGUGUGUGAAGAAGGCCUUCGGGUUGUAAAGCACUUUCAGCGAGGAGGAAGGUGGUGAACUUAAUACGUUCAUCAAUUGACGUUACUCGCAGAAGAAGCACCGGCUAACUCCGUGCCAGCAGCCGCGGUAAUACGGAGGGUGCAAGCGUUAAUCGGAAUUACUGGGCGUAAAGCGCACGCAGGCGGUUUGUUAAGUCAGAUGUGAAAUCCCCGGGCUCAACCUGGGAACUGCAUUUGAAACUGGCAAGCUAGAGUCUCGUAGAGGGGGGUAGAAUUCCAGGUGUAGCGGUGAAAUGCGUAGAGAUCUGGAGGAAUACCGGUGGCGAAGGCGGCCCCCCUGGACGAAGACUGACGCUCAGGUGCGAAAAGCGUGGGGAGCAAACAGGAUUAGAUGCCCUGGUAGUCCACGCUGUAAACGAUGUCGAUUUGGAGGUUGUGCCCUUGAGGCGUGGCUUCCGGAGCUAACGCGUUAAAUCGACCGCCUGGGGGAGUACGGCCGCAAGGUUAAAAA
rnacentral:rRNA from 1 species